rnacentral:rRNA from 1 species
CAGUCGCCGCGGUAAUACGGAGGGUGCAAGCGUUAAUCGGAAUUACUGGGCGUAAAGCGUGCGCAGGCGGUUUGUUAAGACAGAUGUGAAAUCCCCGGGCUCAACCUGGGAACUGCAUUUGUGACUGGCAAGCUAGAGUGUGGCAGAGGGGGGUGGAAUUCCGCGUGUAGCAGUGAAAUGCGUAGAUAUGCGGAGGAACACCGAUGGCGAAGGCAGCCCCCUGGGCCAACACUGACGCUCAUGCACGAAAGCGUGGGGAGCAAACAGGAUUAGAGACCCCUGUAGUCCCUGUCUCUUAUAC